UUAAUUAUCGAGUAGAACUAGGAUUAGUUGAUAGGCUAGCUAGCUAAUAUAUAUACUCAUGUAUACCCCUGUACUUUAUAUCGAGCCGUGAGCAAUAAAGAAAGUCAUCACGAACGUCAUGUUCUUAUCUAUACCUAUAUACGCUGGCGUUUUUUGCAAAACAGUCAUUGUCUUUUCAAGUAAUUAACCCGCAGUCGUCAGGUCGAAUCGUUUUUUCGCGCAUAUUUACAGACAACCGCAUAUAGUUCCUUGAAAUCAACCCACGCUAUAGGUAUUAGUAAUAGUAAGUCAGAAGGCAGCGACGGCUGGAGCUUGCAGCGAACGGAUCCAUGUGUCGUCCUGUGUUCAUCUUAUCCAGUGGCACACGUGGAAGAGGGACAACUUUGCGUGAGCCCAUUGGCGAGAUCGUCGGCGGGGAAGGUGUCGGCCCCUCUCCUCCCCCUCUUACCUCCCCGCCCCUUGUAGGUGUGACUCCAUUCCCAUGCACCGAGCUUGUCUGUGCAAAAAAGAACUUGCAUCUCAUCCUUACACAUCGCAUCUAGCCCGCAGUAGCCGCCACCCUCCCCGCUCCCCAACGCACAACUCAUCCCCGCUCCUUCUUCCUUCCUCCCCUACUUCUUUCUUCAAUCUUCGUUCUGGCCAGUGGAGUGGUGCCGCAUGCGGCGAGCGAAGCGUCCUCGCGAGGGUGAGUCUUGGGGUUCAACGCGUCCUGGCUAGCGGCGGAUGCUGCGCUCGAGCGUUGGCUCCCUCGUGCUGGAAGACAUGCGGCAGCGGCUCUCGAGUAACUUGUGGCGGGGCGACGUGGAUCCGAUAGGGACGGCCUGGAUCUAGACGGAGUUGAGGAGGGCGACGCUCCCAGGGUUCCACUGUUGGACUUGAGCUCGGUGCAACAUCCAUGACAGCUUGAGGUCAUGUGGCAACGAUAAGAGAGGAGGAGUUAAGGGAGAGAGAGAAGAAAGAGGAAGGUGGGAGAAGAAGGAUAAGGGAGCAUACGACAGGGGGCGUCGCAGCUUGCUGUUGUUGCUCGCCCGAUGCAAGCGGCUUGGGCGCUCGCACAGCUCCAUGGGAGGAGCUCGUGAAUGGCCGGAUGGAUGGUAGAGAGGAAAGAGAGCAGCGCUGCUGGAAGGAAUGGAUAAGGACCACGCAGUGGAAAGUUCUUUGUGAGGAUAUUUUUUUUCUGUGGAUUGCUUUCUUUUAAUGGAUCCACCAAUGAGAAGCUGCUGGAAUUUUUUGAGAAAAAAAAACUGCUGGAUCUUGCUAUGCGUGCUACCAGCUGCUAACAAC
rnacentral:lncRNA from 1 species